ACUGAUGCAUGGAACGAGUUCCAACCUUGGCCGACAGGUCUGGGUAGUCUUUUGAGCGUGCAUUGUGAUGGGGAUAGACUAUUGCAAUUAUUAAGCUUCAAC
rnacentral:ncRNA from 1 species